AUACCAUAAUGUAGGCACUUCCUUAAAAACUCUUUGAAUCUCUCCCAUGCAUCAUACAAUGAUUCCCCUUUCGUCUGGUAUAAAUUAUUAAUUUUUCCUCUCAACUU